GCCUACGGGGGGCAGCAGUGAGGAAUAUUGGUCAAUGGGCUUACGCCUGAACCAGCCAAGUCGCGUGAGGGAAGACUGCCCUAUGGGUUGUAAACCUCUUUUGUCAGGGAGCAACGCCGGCUACGUGUAGCCGGACUGAGAGUACCUGAAGAAAAAGCAUCGGCUAACUCCGUGCCAGCAGCCGCGGUAAUACGGAGGAUGCGAGCGUUAUCCGGAUUUAUUGGGUUUAAAGGGUGCGUAGGCGGUCCGUUAAGUCAGCGGUAAAAUUGCGGGGCUCAACCCCGUCGAGCCGUUGAAACUGGCAG
rnacentral:rRNA from 1 species